AGUGUAUAUUGUCAAAUUCAACGGGGUUAUAUUUCUAAUAUUUAGAAAUCAUAAACUGAUAAAUGAUACCUUCCAGCUCUGUUACAACUAUUAAAAAGCCAAUAUUUAGAAAUAAAAAAACUAAAAAAGGUAAAUAAUAUAUAUCUACCAAAUUAUUUGUUUUUGGUGUCGCCCGUUUAGACUGGAGUUGUUUCCCUUGCACUGUAAAGAAAUAAACAUUGUAGGUAAAUACUUGCAGCCGUGAAGCUACCACGUGGUAACCAUGUGCUUUAAGCAGACACGGCGAGGAGGCUGUGAGCAAACAGUUCCAGCCCUAACGGAUGAUUUAGCAGCCGUGAAUAGUAAUGAUAGACAAUAAUACUAUAAAUACAAGAUAUUUAGUGCUUUUACCAGAUAACCAUAUGGCACUGUCAUCAGCAAACUGUGACAUAGCACAGUACUUUAAAUUAUUGGAUAUAUCAUUCACCAUGAUGUUAAAUAGUGUAGGACUUAUACAACUACCCUGUGGUGUACCAUUCUGAAUUAUAAAUAUUUCAGAAUAUGGGAGGUUUUCUCUGACAUAUAUUGCUGUACCUCCAUGUGAUUUAGUAUUGCGUACAGAAAAAUCAGCCAAUUUAUAACCUAUUACAUGUGGAUGGUCUUGUUCGUUUUUGCACCAUGUUUCCUGGAAGCAAAUUAUAUCAGGCUUUAUUUGCGACAUAGCUAUAUACUCGGCAGCAUUAUUGUGAAUACCACGACAGUUCCAAUGAACAAUGCUAAACAUGAUGUUGUAUAUUAGUAAACUAGUAAAAUUAGCCAUUAUAAGCACAGAUAUAACAUAUAACAUUACUACUGUUACUAUUUUAUGAUUUGUAUAAUACAUUAUAGCAUUUC